GCCGGGCGCCGUGGCGCGUGCCUGUAGUCCCAGCUACUCGGGAGGCUGAGGCUGGAGGAUUGCCUGAGCCCAGGAGUUCUGGGAUGUAAUGCACUAUUGCUGAUCGGGUGUCCACACUAAGUUCGGCAUCAAUAUGGUGACCUCCUGGGAGCGGAGGACCACCAAGUUGCCUAAGGCGGGGUGGGGGGGUAGGGGAGUGGUGAACCGACCCAGGUGGGAAAAGGAGCAGAUAAAAACUCCCGUGCUGACCAGUAGUGGGAUUGCGCCUGUGCAUAGCCACUGCACUCCAGCCUGGGCAACAUAGCAAGAUCCUGUCUUGU
ensembl:misc_RNA Metazoa_SRP Metazoan signal recognition particle RNA